GACGAACGCUGGCGGCGUGCCUAAUACAUGCAAGUCGAACGCAGUGGGGCCGGUUGAGGAAAACGUGGGUAACCUCCCAUCAGAGGGGAUAACACUUCGAAACAGGUGCUAAACUGAUACUGAUGGAUGGACUCGCGGUGCAUUAGCUAGUUGGGGGGGUAACGGCUCACCAAGGCCACGAUGCAUAGCCGGCCGGAGAGGGGGAGCGGCCAAACUGGGACUGAGACACGGCCCAGACUCCUACGGGAGGCAGCAGUAGGGAAGAUGCGGCAAUGGACGAAAGUCUGACCGAGCAACGCGGCGUGAAUGAAGAAGGUUUUCGGAUCGUAAAACUCUGUUGUUAGAGAAGCGGUAUCUAACGAGAAAGCCACGGCUAACUACGUGCCAGCAGCCGCGGUAAUUC
rnacentral:rRNA from 1 species